ensembl:lncRNA
AAUCCUUUAUUCUAGUCUCCUCCAUCAGUCUCGCCCUCUCUUCUAGUUUCCUCCAUCAGGCUCCUCCACUCUUCUGGUCUCCUCCACCAGUCUCCUCCUCUCUUCUAGUCUCCUUCAUCAGUCUCCUCCUCUCCUCUCUUCUAGUCUCCUCCAUCAGUAUCCUCCUCUCCUCUCUUCUAGUCUCCUCCAUCAGUCUCCUCCUCUCCUCUCUUCUAGUCUCAUCCAUCAGGCUCCUCCUCUCCUUUAUUCUAGUCUCCUCCAUCAAUCUCCUCCUCUCCUCUCUUCUAGUCUCCUCCAUCAGUAUCCUCCUCUCCUCUCUUCUAGUCUCCUCCAUCAGUCUCCUCCUCUCCUCUCUUCUAGUCUCAUCCAUCAGGCUCCUCCUCUCCUUUAUUCUAGUCUCCUCCAUCAAUCUCCUACUCUCCUCUCUUCUAGUCUCCUCCAUCAGGCUCCUUCUCUUCUGUCUUCUAGUCUCCUUAAUCAGUCUCCUCUCCUUUAUUCUGGUCUCGUCCAUCAGGCUCCUCCUCUCCUUUAUUCUAGUCUCCUCCAUCAGUCUCCUCCUCUCCUCUCUUCUAGUCUCAUCCAUCAGGCUCCUCCUCUCCUUUAUUCUAGUCUCCUCCAUCAAUCUCCUCCUCUCCUCUCUUCUAGUCUCCUCCAUCAGUAUCCUCCUCUCCUCUCUUCUAGUCUCCUCCAUCAGUCUCCUCCUCUCCUCUCUUCUAGUCUCAUCCAUCAGGCUCCUCCUCUCCUUUAUUCUAGUCUCCUACAUCAGUCUCCUCCUCUCCUUUAUUCAAGUGUCCUCCAUCAGUCUCAUCCUCUCC